rnacentral:rRNA from 1 species
GAGUCUGACCUGCCCGGUGAAUAAUUUUUAACGGCCGCGGUAUUUUGACUGUGCGAAGGUAGCAUAAUCAUUUGCUCUAUAAUUGAGGGCUAGCAUGAAUGGUUUGACGUGAGCAAAGCUGUCUCUAUAUUGAUUUUUCAGAAUUUGAUUUUUAGGUGAAGAAACCUAAAUUUUAUUAAAAGACAAGAAGACCCUAUUGAGCUUUAAAGAAGUAGAUAAGGCAUAAAUUAUUUACUAAAAAAUUUAUUUAUCUAAUAUUUUGGUUGGGGCGACUAAGGAACAACUAAAGCUUCCUUAUAUGUUAAAGUUUUACAAGUGUUGAUCCAAAUAUUUUGAUUAAAGAAAUUAGUUACCAUAGGGAUAACAGCAUAAUUUUCUUUGAGAGUUCUUAUCGAAAAGAGAGUUUGUGACCUCGAUGUUGGACUAAAAUUUCCUGAAGAUGUAGUAGUCUUCGAGGGUUGGUC